AGAGUUUGAUCCUGGCUCAGAACGAACGCUGGCGGCGUGCUUAACACAUGCAAGUCGAACGAGAAAGUUUCCUUCGGGAAACGAGUAGAGUGGCGCACGGGUGAGUAACGCGUAGGUAAUCUACCCUAAUAUUUGGGAUAACAUUGGGAAACUGGUGCUAAUACCGAAUACCCUUCUUUUCUGCCGGGUUAAGGAGGAAAGGUGGCCUCUUCAUGAAAGCUACCGUAUAAGGAUGAGCCUGCGUACCAUUAGCUAGUAGGUGGGGUAAUGGCCCACCUAGGCGACGAUGGUUAGCGGGUCUGAGAGGAUGAUCCGCCACACUGGAACUGGAACACGGACCAGACUCCUACGGGAGGCAGCAGUGAGGAAUAUUGCGCAAUGGGGGAAACCCUGACGCAGCGACGCCGCGUGAGUGAGGAAGGUUUUCGGAUCGUAAAGCUCUGUCAGAAGGGAAGAAGUGUUAUACAGUUAAUACCUGUAUAAUUUGACGGUACCUUCAGAGAAGCACCGCUAACU
rnacentral:rRNA from 1 species